UACGGGGGGAGCAAGCGUUGUUCGGAUUUACUGGGCGUAAAGGGCGCGUAGGCGGUCGUGACAAGUCACUUGUGAAAUCUCCGGGCUUAACUCGGAACGGUCAAGUGAUACUGUCGGACUAGAGUACAGAAGGGGCAACUGGAAUUCUCGGUGUAGCGGUGAAAUGCGUAGAUAUCGAGAGGAACACCUGCGGCGAAGGCGGUUCUCUGGGACGGUACUGACGCUGAGACGCGAAAGCGUGGGGAGCGAACAGG
rnacentral:rRNA from 1 species